AAGUAGCGGCGGCGCUUCAAGAUGCGCUGCCUGACCACGCCUAUGCUGCUGCGGGCCCUGGCCCAGGCUGCACGUGCAGGUAGGACCAAAGAAGCCUUUGCUGGGGGUAGGGGAGUCCAGUCUCCUGGUAUGAGGUCACGCCCUUCUUUUUGCAGGACCUCCUGGUGGCCGGAGCCUCCACAGCAGUGCAGUGGCAGCCACCUACAGUGAGUACCUGGGUGGCCUCUAGCCUCAGGUGUUCCUGACUGGUCCUGCUGGAGUAGGGGAAGAGACCUGAGUUCCAGUCCUGGCUUUGUCAGGGGCGUUAUUCUCUGAGCCUGUUUCCACUCUUAAAAUGAUUAUGGUGAUGGAGACUGACUCUGAUUCACAGGGGCAGGGUCCAUCAUUGCCGAGGUUAGCAUGUGUGAUCUCAGAGCUCCCUGGGUGUGAUGGGGAGGGGGUUGCCAGGUGUGAGCCAUGGGUACCUGUGCCUAUUGCCAGUCCCUGGUGAAGGCAAAGGCUCAAGCCCCCCACCUACCCCCCUUGAUUCCUCUUUCAAGCCCUGUUGGGCAGGGAAGUGCGUCUGAGCUCCAACGGCCACCCAAGCACAGGGAGAGGUAGGCACGGACGGGCUCGGGCCAGAGGCGGCCUCCAGGGUCCUUGCUGAGGCUAGGGAGAGGUGUGGUGAGUGUACAGCCCCUUUGUAGCCCAGCAGUUGCACCUGGAAGUGAGGGCCAAGCUGCUCUCCCUGAGGCUCCAGGGAGACAGUGUGUGAGGCCUCUUGCCAUGGCCUCCCUGCCCGCCUCUCUGCAGAGUAUGUGAACAUGCAGGAUCCCGAGAUGGACAUGAAGUCAGUGACUGACCGGGCAGCCCGCACCCUGCUGUGGACUGAGCUCUUCCGAGGUGCGUCCUGGGCAGGAGGGGACAGGGCAGGUGCCGGGUGGGCACGGAUGCAUGGGGGAGGAGGGUGCCCCUGCCCACCACACCUGUGCUGCCCACAGGCCUGGGCAUGACCCUGAGCUACCUGUUCCGGGAACCGGCCACCAUCAACUACCCGUUCGAGAAGGGCCCGCUGAGCCCUCGCUUCCGUGGGGAGCAUGCGCUGCGCCGGUACCCAUCCGGGGAGGAGCGUUGCAUUGCCUGCAAGCUCUGUGAGGCCAUCUGCCCCGCCCAGGUGAGCCCCUGCCCCAACCGGCCACCACGCCAGCCCCUGCCACUGGGAGAGGGAGGCCAGGCAGCCCUAGGCCCAAACCCUAGCCCCUGCUUGAUGUGCGUCCCCAGGAAGUCCCUUUCCCCCUCUGAGCCACUUCCCUCGUGAAUGGGAAUGAUGAGGGCUUGCUACCAGAGCACAGAGUCAGUGAGUUGGCAGAGUGAAGCUUCCAGCCCUGGGCAGGCGCCUGACACACAGAGGUUCCCCCUUGGGGUCUGGCCAAGGGUGUGACCCCUGGGCAUCUGAGCCAUGGGGUGGCACCUGAGGCCAUCCACGCCUCCCUGGAUGUAGCCACCGUUUCUGGAGUCCUGCUUGUGUGCCUGUUGCAGCUUCCCUUCCCCAGUGGCUGCUCCCCUGAGGCCCGGCUUUCCGUUCUCUUAGUGGGUCUUGUGCUUACCCGUGGGGGCCAGGCCUGCCAGCACGGGAACAAUAUGACUCUGUCAGAGCUCUGGUCAGACCCCUGUGUGUGCCUGGCAGGAGCCCCGGCAGCCGCCGUCGCUACUUUCUGUGCGCACAGCAACCCCUCCCAGUGUUCUGUGACUCGGGUGGCUCCUGUCCAGAUCCUAGUUUGUCCUCUGGAGCACUCCCAGGUCCUCCAGACCAUGAGCUGCGGCCCUGAUGUCUCUGCUCCAGCCACGGACUGAGAGUGCAUAGGAGUGUCCCCAAACAGCAGUCACGAUGGUCACAACCUUGGCUUCCAGACAGUGAGUGCUAUCCACAGACAGACCCGGUGCUGUGCCACGUGUGUGACUCACAGCCUCUCCUGUAAUCUCCACAACCCCUCGAGGAGGUAGAGGUUAUUGUCUCCAUCUUUAUAAGCACUAAAGGAUGAGCCUGCCAGCCACAGGUCCCACUGUGAGUUGUGGACACUACAUUUCUGGGAUGGGGGCAUAUGAGAGUCCUUGCCAAGCACAUGUGAAGGUUUUCCCAGCCAGCCCCUCCCCCAGCGGGCUACCCAGGAACUGAGAGUUAGGACGUGCCCUUGAGUUUGGGCUGUGCCCCCACUUGCUGUGUAGCUUUGGGGAGCCCCUCAACCUCUCGGAACCUUGUUUUUCUCAUCCAUCAAAUGGAGAGAAGUAGAUUUAAGGCACAGGAUUGCACCCAACAGUGUAGGCAUUCUUGGCGAUGUUGCAGGUUCGGCUCCAGACCAUCGGGGUAAACUGAGUCACACAGCUGUUUUGGUUUUCCAGUGCAUUUAAAAGUUAGAUUUAGACCGGGCACAGUGGCUCAUGCCUGUAAUUCCAGCACUUUGAGAAGCCGAGGUGGGCGGAUCACUUGAGGUCAAGAGUUCGAGACCAGCCUGGCCAACAUAGUGAAACCCCAUCUCUACUAAAAAUAACAAAACUUAGCCGGGCACAUUGGCAGGUCCCUGUAAUCUCAGCUACUUGCUAGGCUGAGGCACGAUAAUCACUUGAACCAGGAGGUGGGGGUUGCAGUGAGCCAAAAUUGAAAAAAAAAAAAAAAAAAUAGGGCCGGUUGCGGUGGCUCACGCCUGUAAUCCCAGCACUUUGGGAGGCCAAGGUGGGCGGAUCACAAGGUCAGGAAUUCAAGACCAGCCUGGCUAACAUGUUGAAACCCCGUCUCUAGUAAAAAUACAAAAAUUAGCCGGGUGUGGGGUUGCACACCUGUGGUCCCAGCUACUCAAGAGGCUGAGGCAGGAGAAUUGCUUGAACCUGGGAGGCGGAGGUUGCAGUGAACUAUGAUUGCACCACCAUACUCCAUCCUGGGCCACAGAGCAAGACUUCGUCUCAAAAAAAAAAAGGAUUUACACUGUACUGUAGGCUGCGAAGUGUCUAAAACACAAUGUAUAUACCUUAAUUAAAAAUACUUUAGGGGCCAGGCACAGUGGCUCACACCUGUAGUCCAAGUGCUUUGGGAGGUCAAGGUGAGGGGAUUACUUGAGCCCAGGAGUUUGAGACCAGCCUGGGCAACAUGGCAAAACCCCGACUCUACAACAA
rnacentral:sRNA from 1 species